UGGCCCUCUGAAGACUUCUGGAACCGUCAUGAUGCAGAAACUCCUCCCUGAUUGAUCUCCUCGUCGCCGGGUGGAUGACGAGCAGCAGGAUCUGAGCCUCCUGCAUGACCACAGCCUCCUCCUUCCGUCACUUCUCCGGAGCUUCUCCUCGUCUGCUCGUCGUCGCUCUCUCUCAGACCGGCCGUCACCAUGAACCACAUGAGGAGCAGAGUCGGCCCCUCGGAGCCAGGAGCUCCAGGGACGAACGGCAGGAGCAGAGACGACCGUCAGUCUGCAUCUGCAAACACCAACAACAGCAACAACAACGACGGGUGAGCAGCGGUUCUGGUUCUGGGAUCGGUUCUGUCUGGACUACCGUUCUGAGAGGAAAGGCUCCGACGUUUAAUGAAACGAAGCAAUUACCAAUUUAUCUAUGGUUU